GAGGGAAGAUCAGCGCAAGGACUCAAAUUGAGUUGACGAGGAUGAGGGUUCCUCGCCGCGAAGCGAGGUUAACCAGGUGAAUCGGUAUUCGCCUGGGAAAAUCGAAAGAUCAGCGGAAGCCCUCGGGGCUGGCCACAGCCCACUAUCUUUCCCUCCAAAGUAUAACUUUGUGAUAACGCCGUGCGGGUGACCGGACGGACAAAGGCACAAAGAGUGGCGGAA
rnacentral:ncRNA from 2 species